rnacentral:rRNA from 2 species
GGUUAAGCGACUAAGCGUACACGGUGGAUGCCCUGGCAGUCAGAGGCGAUGAAGGACGUGCUAAUCUGCGAUAAGCGCCGGUAAGGUGAUAUGAACCGUUAUAACCGGCGAUUUCCGAAUGGGGAAACCCAGUGUGAUUCGUCACACUAUCAUUAACUGAAUCCAUAGGUUAAUGAGGCGAACCGGGGGAACUGAAACAUCUAAGUACCCCGAGGAAAAGAAAUCAACCGAGAUUCCCCCAGUAGCGGCGAGCGAACGGGGAGGAGCCCAGAGCCUGAAUCAGCAUGUGUGUUAGUGGAAGCGUCUGGAAAGGCGCGCGAUACAGGGUGACAGCCCCGUACACAAAAGCGCAUGUGCUGUGAGCUCGAUGAGUAGGGCGGGACACGUGGUAUCCUGUCUGAAUAUGGGGGGACCAUCCUCCAAGGCUAAAUACUCCUGACUGACCGAUAGUGAACCAGUACCGUGAGGGAAAGGCGAAAAGAACCCCGGCGAGGGGAGUGAAAAAGAACCUGAAACCGUGUACGUACAAGCAGUGGGAGCACCCUUCGGGGUGUGACUGCGUACCUUUUGUAUAAUGGGUCAGCGACUUAUAUUCUGUAGCAAGGUUAACCGUAUAGGGGAGCCGGAGGGAAACCGAGUCUUAAUUGGGCGUUAAGUUGCAGGGUAUAGACCCGAAACCCGGUGAUCUAGCCAUGGGCAGGUUGAAGGUUGGGUAACACUAACUGGAGGACCGAACCGACUAAUGUUGAAAAAUUAGCGGAUGACCUGUGGCUGGGGGUGAAAGGCCAAUCAAACCGGGAGAUAGCUGGUUCUCCCCGAAAGCUAUUUAGGUAGCGCCUCGUGAAUUCAUCUCCGGGGGUAGAGCACUGUUUCGGCUAGGGGGCCAUCCCGGCUUACCAACCCGAUGCAAACUGCGAAUACCGGAGAAUGUUAUCACGGGAGACACACGGCGGGUGCUAACGUCCGUCGUGAAGAGGGAAACAACCCAGACCGCCAGCUAAGGUCCCAAAGUCAUGGUUAAGUGGGAAACGAUGUGGGAAGGCCCAGACAGCCAGGAUGUUGGCUUAGAAGCAGCCAUCAUUUAAAGAAAGCGUAAUAGCUCACUGGUCGAGUCGGCCUGCGCGGAAGAUGUAACGGGGCUAAACCAUGCACCGAAGCUGCGGCAGCGAACGUAUCACCCAAGACAACUUUACGGAGUUGACGAUUGACGGAGCGAAGCGACGUCAAAGCGUUCAUUAAAGUCGAGUUGGCUUAGGGAUACGUUCGUUGGGUAGGGGAGCGUUCUGUAAGCCUGUGAAGGUGUGUCGUGAGGCAUGCUGGAGGUAUCAGAAGUGCGAAUGCUGACAUAAGUAACGAUAAAGCGGGUGAAAAGCCCGCUCGCCGGAAGACCAAGGGUUCCUGUCCAACGUUAAUCGGGGCAGGGUGAGUCGACCCCUAAGGCGAGGCCGAAAGGCGUAGUCGAUGGGAAACGGGUUAAUAUUCCCGUACUUGGUGUUACUGCGAAGGGGGGACGGAGAAGGCUAUGUUGGCCGGGCGACGGUUGUCCCGGUUUAAGCGUGUAGGUGUGUGUUCCAGGUAAAUCCGGUUCACUUUAACACUGAGGCGUGACGACGAGGCACUACGGUGCUGAAGCAACAAAUGCCCUGCUUCCAGGAAAAGCCUCUAAGCAUCAGGUAACACGAAAUCGUACCCCAAACCGACACAGGUGGUCAGGUAGAGAAUACCAAGGCGCUUGAGAGAACUCGGGUGAAGGAACUAGGCAAAAUGGUGCCGUAACUUCGGGAGAAGGCACGCUGACACGUAGGUGAAGUGAUUUACUCAUGGAGCUGAAGUCAGUCGAAGAUACCAGCUGGCUGCAACUGUUUAUUAAAAACACAGCACUGUGCAAACACGAAAGUGGACGUAUACGGUGUGACGCCUGCCCGGUGCCGGAAGGUUAAUUGAUGGGGUCAGCGUAAGCGAAGCUCCUGAUCGAAGCCCCGGUAAACGGCGGCCGUAACUAUAACGGUCCUAAGGUAGCGAAAUUCCUUGUCGGGUAAGUUCCGACCUGCACGAAUGGCGUAAUGAUGGCCAGGCUGUCUCCACCCGAGACUCAGUGAAAUUGAACUCGCUGUGAAGAUGCAGUGUACCCGCGGCAAGACGGAAAGACCCCGUGAACCUUUACUAUAGCUUGACACUGAACAUUGAGCCUUGAUGUGUAGGAUAGGUGGGAGGCUUUGAAGUGUGGACGCCAGUCUGCAUGGAGCCGACCUUGAAAUACCACCCUUUAAUGUUUGAUGUUCUAACGUGGACCCGUAAUCCGGGUUGCGGACAGUGUCUGGUGGGUAGUUUGACUGGGGCGGUCUCCUCCUAAAGAGUAACGGAGGAGCACGAAGGUUGGCUAAUCCUGGUCGGACAUCAGGAGGUUAGUGCAAUGGCAUAAGCCAGCUUGACUGCGAGCGUGACGGCGCGAGCAGGUGCGAAAGCAGGUCAUAGUGAUCCGGUGGUUCUGAAUGGAAGGGCCAUCGCUCAACGGAUAAAAGGUACUCCGGGGAUAACAGGCUGAUACCGCCCAAGAGUUCAUAUCGACGGCGGUGUUUGGCACCUCGAUGUCGGCUCAUCACAUCCUGGGGCUGAAGUAGGUCCCAAGGGUAUGGCUGUUCGCCAUUUAAAGUGGUACGCGAGCUGGGUUUAGAACGUCGUGAGACAGUUCGGUCCCUAUCUGCCGUGGGCGCUGGAGAACUGAGGGGGGCUGCUCCUAGUACGAGAGGACCGGAGUGGACGCAUCACUGGUGUUCGGGUUGUCAUGCCAAUGGCACUGCCCGGUAGCUAAAUGCGGAAGAGAUAAGUGCUGAAAGCAUCUAAGCACGAAACUUGCCCCGAGAUGAGUUCUCCCUGAGACUUAGAGUCUCCUGAAGGAACGUUGAAGACGACGACGUUGAUAGGCCGGGUGUGUAAGCGCAGCGAUGCGUUGAGCUAACCGGUACUAAUGAACCGUGAGGCUUAACCUUACAACGCCGAAGAUGUUUUG